GAUGAAGAACGUAGCGAAAUGCGAUAAGUAAUGUGAAUUGCAGAAUUCAGUGAAUCAUCGAAUCUUUGAACGCACAUUGCGCCCCCUGGUAUUCCGGGGGGCAUGCCUGUUCGAGCGUCAUUUCACCACUCAAGCCUCGCUUGGUAUUGGGCAACGCGGUCCGCCGCGUGCCUCAAAUCGUCCGGCUGGGUCUUCUGUCCCCUAAGCGUUGUGGAAACUAUUCGCUAAAGGGUGUUCGGGAGGCUACGCCGUAAAACAACCCCAUUUCUAAGGUUGACCUCGGAUCAGGUAGGGAUACCCGCUGAACUUAAGCAUAUCAAUAAGCGGAGG
rnacentral:misc_RNA from 1 species